UUGAAAGUCUCCAUAGCCCUUCCACCAAGAUCCUUCACUGGCUCCGUCAAAUUGAUUAUUUAUAUCGUUAAGCAAAACAUUGAAAGCGAUGGUGUUUUUGAUAUCUCAGCAUCUUUUCAUCUUGUUGCUUUUAAGAUUCUUCGAAAUCGUUAAGCAAGAAAACUCCAUAGAUGGUCCAUCAGAUAUCGAGGGUUCCAUUGGAGGAGAUGCCUUGUUUAUGUGGAUGCUACGGCACAAAAAGAAAUCCUUGGUGUCAGCUGGGGAAUAAGAAAGGGCAACAUCCCUGAUCCUCAGUUUAUCAGCGUUAAUUCAUAUAAUGGAAAGGUGUACAUAAACAAAGAUAUUGGCGACACGUUGAAAAGAAGAGUAGAAUUCCUUGGAGACUUGACAAUAGGUCGUGCUUGGUUUGUGUUGAAAAACCUUACUGUCAAUGACACUAAUGAAUACAUUGCAAGCAUCAGUGACAAUGUAUCUAGAGUUCUACCAUAUUAUGUGCACCUAAUGGUUGCAGAGAAGAGAAAAG